rnacentral:rRNA from 1 species
AUUGAACGCUGGCGGCAGGCCUAACACAUGCAAGUCGAGCGGAUGAAGGGAGCUUGCUCCUGGAUUCAGCGGCGGACGGGUGAGUAAUGCCUAGGAAUCUGCCUGGUAGUGGGGGAUAACGUCCGGAAACGGGCGCUAAUACCGCAUACGUCCUGAGGGCGAACGUGGGGGAUCUUCGGACCUCACGCUAUCAGAUGAGCCUAGGUCGGAUUAGCUAGUUGGUGGGGUAAAGGCCUACCAAGGCGACGAUCCGUAACUGGUCUGAGAGGAUGAUCAGUCACACUGGAACUGAGACACGGUCCAGACUCCUACGGGAGGCAGCAGUGGGGAAUAUUGGACAAUGGGCGAAAGCCUGAUCCAGCCAUGCCGCGUGUGUGAAGAAGGUCUUCGGAUUGUAAAGCACUUUAAGUUGGGAGGAAGGGCAGUAAGUUAAUACCUUGCUGUUUUGACGGUACCAACAGAAUAAGCACCGGCUAACUUCGUG